CAGAACACCAAUAGCUCAGGCACUAGAUUUAACACACAAAUUUUUGUUUAGACAAAGGACACAGUCAGUGGGACAAAACAGCAGCUUAUAGAAUAGGCUGAGAAAUCUGAGAUCAAGAGGUCAGAAAGUUCAGUGUCUGUUGAGGAACUCCUGCAUCUCACAGAAAGACCCUUCUCAUGGCUUUGUCAUGAGGCUUUCUCCAUGGAGAGUUUUAGAGGUGUGACCUCCCUUAGCCUCACGCUGGCUGGACCAGAUUUUGUUCUUGCCACAAAGCAGCUGGCACACUUAGGUGGAGUUCCUGAAAUAAAGAAAGCCCUUUUGUCCUUCCUCUUCUCUGCCUCUUCUGAACUUCCUGUUAGGAGCCACGCCCUGCUGAGCUGCUUCACCUGCCUUCUACACAGAACAACAAGAUGCUAAUUAGAGCAUAAGAUGCUGGCUUACUGGGGAAUGGGUUUCCCUGCCUAUACAUUCUCAGAUUCUGAAAUACACACUGGAUCUUGAUCGGAA